AUUGAACGCUGGCGGCAGGCCUAACACAUGCAAGUCGAGCGGAUGAAGGGAGCUUGCUCCUGGAUUCAGCGGCGGACGGGUGAGUAAUGCCUAGGAAUCUGCCUGGUAGUGGGGGAUAACGUCCGGAAACGGGCGCUAAUACCGCAUACGUCCUGAGGGAGAAAGUGGGGGAUCUUCGGACCUCACGCUAUCAGAUGAGCCUAGGUCGGAUUAGCUAGUUGGUGGGGUAAAGGCCUACCAAGGCGACGAUCCGUAACUGGUCUGAGAGGAUGAUCAGUCACACUGGAGCUGAGACACGGUCCAGACUCCUACGGGAGGCAGCAGUGGGGAAUAUUGGGCAAUGGGCGAAAGCCUGAUCCAGCCAUGCCGCGUGAGUGAAGAAGGUCUUCGGAUUGUAAAGCACUUUAAGUUGGGAGGAAGAGCAGUAAGUUAAUACCUUGCUGUUUUGACGUUACCAACAGAAUAAGCACCGGCUAACUACGUG
rnacentral:rRNA from 1 species